AUGCUCGCUUUGGCAGCACAUAUGCUAAAAUUGGAAUGAUACAGAGAAGAUUAGCAUGGCCCCUGCACAAGGAUGACACGCAAAUUUGUGUAAGCAUUCCAUAUUUAA
rnacentral:snRNA from 1 species